GCCUGACUUGCUGGCGCAUGCCUGUAAUCCCAGUUGCUCAGGAGGCUGAGGCAGGAGGAUCGCAAGUUCAAAGCCAGCGUCAGCAACUCAGUGAGAUCCUGUUUCUA
rnacentral:sRNA from 1 species